UAAUACAUGCAAGUUGAGCGCUGAAGGUUGGUACUUGUACCAACUGGAUGAGCAGCGAACGGGUGAGUAACGCGUGGGGAAUCUGCCUUUGAGCGGGGGACAACAUUUGGAAACGAAUGCUAAUACCGCAUAAAAACUUUAAACACAAGUUUUAAGUUUGAAAGAUGCAAUUGCAUCACUCAAAGAUGAUCCCGCGUUGUAUUAGCUAGUUGGUGAGGUAAAGGCUCACCAAGGCGAUGAUACAUAGCCGACCUGAGAGGGUGAUCGGCCACAUUGGGACUGAGACACGGCCCAAACUCCUACGGGAGGCAGCAGUAG
rnacentral:rRNA from 1 species